UCGCACCUACCGAUUGGAUGGUCCGGUGAGGCUUUCGGAUUGUGAUGACGCUGCUUUCAUUAGCGGUAUCAUCGUGAGAAGUUAUCCAAACCUUACCAUCUAGAGGAAGGUG
rnacentral:rRNA from 1 species